rnacentral:snRNA from 12 species
UAGCUCGAGUUUCUCUUCAUUGUCGCAUAAAUCUUUCGCCUUUUACUAAAGAUUUCCGUGGAGGGGAACUUUUGCGAGUGAUCUGUUUUUUUGGGGGCUUUUUAGGGAAGUC